CAGGCGUUGGCAAUCCUGUUCCAGCUCCCAUUCCAUGGUGGCCAGCUGGAACAGAUCUGGCCAUAAGUCAUCAGCUCUAGUAAGAUCCAUCAGGGCUUCCCUAGUACUGUGGAUUUCCCAGAGCCAAAACUCUGCCGAGCUGCCAAAAUUAAUGUCUUUCUCAAAGGCCUCCCACAAUGAGCCUGGGCUGUUAUAGUCCUCACCCUCUGGCAUGCUAUCUUCAGCCAUCCACUGGUUGCGCCGGGCUGCGUACCACUCUAGUGCCCGGUAAGCCUCGUCCAGCCACAGCUCCUUCCAGACCAGGUCCUCAAGCCCAGUCACCCACUCCUCCAGGGGCUGUUCUCCCAGGAGAG